AACAUGAAGAGAUAGUGUAACGUUCAUGGGUGGUGUGGCGCUAAUCAUAUAAUGUAUUGCUGUGCUCAUUGAGCACAAUAAGGUGUGACAGUGGUAGACAGAUGCUUACUAUUGUCCACACUACUACGCAGCAACAUGUUACCAAGACAGAGGAUGUCCAGCAGCCACAGCAGGACCAGGCAGAAGAACACUUUGUGAAGAGCAUCUGUUGUGACCAUCCUGUACAGAAGGUUGAUGAAAAAGGAAUCCCAGAUCAAGAGUUAAUCAACUCAGAUCAAGAACAUGGUAAUCAAGAACAGAAAGUUAAAGAGCUGAUAUGUCGGGAAUCAGAAGUUGAAGGAUUAGACCACCGGCAAGAAACCACUGAAAACUUUGACCUUAGCCAGGAAGUUAGAGAACAAAAAGAACAGAUACAUGAAGUUGAAAAACAACUGUAUCCAAAAGAAAGAAUUAAAGAGCAAGUAGACCAAGAGGAUAUUGAAAGAAAGGUAAAUCAAGAAAAAGAAGUUGAAGAACAAGUACAUCAAACAGAAAAGGCUGAAACAGAAGAGGAGGCCAAAGAACAGGUGUACCAAAAAGAGGAAGUUGUUGAGACAGUAGACCAAAGAGAGGAUGUUGAGGAUGUUGAAGAUGCAGACCAAAGUGAAGAAGAGGUAGAUGAAGGAGAGGAAUUUGAUGAGGUAGAUGAAGGAGAGGAAGUUGAUGAGGUAGAUGAAGGCGAGGAAGUUGAUGAGAUAGAUCACAGUGAGGAAGAGGUAUAUAAAGGAGAAGUUGAAGCGGGAGACCAAAGUGAAGAUGAGGUAGACCAAGGAGAGGAAGCCAAAGAAGAGAUAGACCUCGGAGAGCAAGUUGAAGAAGUAUCUUUUAAAGAGGAAACUAAAGAACAAAUCGACAACAAGGACAGAAUUAUAGGAGAGGAAAAUAUUGAUACAAAAUUUGAAGACCUCUUUAAUAAAUCAAAAGAAGAUCAAGACCAAUUUGAGGAAAGAUCAGAAAUCAAAAAGCAAGUAGGCCAAAUAUUUGAAACCAAUGAUCGAAUAUCAACACAUGGCAGACAUUUCAUAAACGAAGCCAAGCAGAGGUGGGAAGCUCUUGAUAAGGAAGAUCAAUCAGAAGUAGAUAAUAAUAAGAAUUACAAGAAAAAGAAAAGUAAGAAAAAGUCUCAAAACACAGGAGCAAUGGCUGAUGCUAAUACGAAGACCAGUAGAUUUUAUUUUCUUUUUUACAGGGAGGCACUGCUGAAAAAUGUGCACAGUGCAAACGUACUGUGUAUGCAAUGGAAAAGUUGGAGGUAGCAGGCCGUUUGAUGCACAAAACGUGUUUCAGAUGUUGCAAGUGUAACUCUCCACUCAAUGUUGGAAGGUUCUCUGUUGGUGGCGGCGAUUUGUACUGCUUAACACAUUACAAACAGGCAUUCAGAGAGAAAGGAACAUAUGACGUUUUUACCCCAGACAACCCAUGCAAAG
rnacentral:misc_RNA from 1 species